rnacentral:rRNA from 1 species
AUUGAACGCUGGCGGCAGGCCUAACACAUGCAAGUCGAACGGUAACAGGAAGAAGCUUGCUUCUUUGCUGACGAGUGGCGGACGGGUGAGUAAUGUCUGGGAAACUGCCUGAUGGAGGGGGAUAACUACUGGAAACGGUAGCUAAUACCGCAUAACGUCGCAAGACCAAAGAGGGGGGCCUUCGGGCCUCUUGCCAUCGGAUGUGCCCAGAUGGGAUUAGCUAGUAGGUGGGGUAACGGCUCACCUAGGCGACGAUCCCUAGCUGGUCUGAGAGGAUGACCAGCCACACUGGAACUGAGACACGGUCCAGACUCCUACGGGAGGCAGCAGUGGGGAAUAUUGCACAAUGGGCGCAAGCCUGAUGCAGCCAUGCCGCGUGUAUGAAGAAGGCCUUCGGGUUGUAAAGUACUUUCAGCGGGGAGGAAGGGAGUAAAGUUAAUACCUUUGCUCAUUGACGUUACCCGCAGAAGAAGCACCGGCUAACUCCGUG